rnacentral:rRNA from 1 species
CAAUAGCGUAUAUUAAAGUUGUUGCGGUAAAAAAGCUCGUAGUUGGAUUUCUGUUGAGAGCGACCGGUCCAUACCAUGUAUGCGUAUCUGGCUUGCUCUCGGCAUCCUCUCGAUAGACGUUACUGCGCUUGAUUGCGUGGUGCGGAUCUCGGGACUUUUACUUUGAGGAAAUUAGAGUGUUCACGGCAGGCUUUCGCCAGAAUACAUUAGCAUGGAAUAAUACUAUAGGAUCUUGGUUCUAUUUUGUUGGUUUCUAGAAUUGAGAUAAUGAUUAAUAGGGACAAUUGGGGGCAUUCGUAUCAACACGUCAGAGGUGGAAUUCUUGGAUUGUGAUGCGACGAACUACUGCGAAAGCAUUUGCCAAGGAUGUUUUCAUUGA